AGUUGAGCGGAGAUUAUGGAGCUUGCUUUAUAUAACUUAGCAGCGAACGGGUGAGUAACACGUAGAUAAUCUAUCCUAUACUGGGGGAUAGCCCGAUGAAAGUUGGAUUAAUACCGCAUAUAGCUAUAUAGUUGCAUGAUUAUGUAGUGAAAGAUUUAUUGGUAUAGGAGGAGUCUGCGGCACAUUAGCUAGUAGGUGAGGUAAAGGCUUACCUAGGCGACGAUGUGUAGCCGGUCUGAGAGGAUGAACGGCCACAAUGGAACUGAGACACGGUCCAUACUCCUACGGGAGGCAGCAGUGGGGAAUAUUGCACAAUGGGGGAAACCCUGAUGCAGCAACGCCGCGUGAGUGAAGAAGGUUUUCGGAUUGUAAAGCUCUGUUAGCAGGGAAGAGGAAGGACGGUACCUGCAGAGGAAGCCACGGCUAACUACGUGCCAGCAGCCGCGGUAAUACGUAGGUGGCAAGCGUUGUUCGGAAUAACUGGGCGUAAAGGAUGCGUAGGCGGUUAAACAAGUUAUAUGUUAAAUAUAUAGGCUUAACCUGUAGAAAGCAUAUAAAACUGUUUAACUAGAGUGCAGGAGAGGUAAGUGGAAUUCCUAGUGUAGCGGUGAAAUGCGUAGAGAUUAGGAAGAACACCAGUGGCGAAGGCGACUUACUGGACUGUAACUGACGCUGAGGCAUGAGAGCAUGGGGAGCAAACAGGAUUAGAUACCCUGGUAGUCCAUGCUGUAAACGAUGGGUACUAGGUGUGGGUUGUGAAUAACAAUUCGUGCCGUCGCAAACGCAAUAAGUACCCCGCC
rnacentral:rRNA from 1 species